rnacentral:rRNA from 1 species
GGCGGCGUGCCUAAUACAUGCAAGUCGAGCGGACAGAAGGGAGCUUGCUCCCUGAUGUUAGCGGCGGACGGGUGAGUAACACGUGGGUAACCUGCCUGUAAGACUGGGAUAACUCCGGGAAACCGGAGCUAAUACCGGAUAGUUCCUUGAACCGCAUGGUUCAAGGAUGAAAGACGGUUUCGGCUGUCACUUACAGAUGGACCCGCGGCGCAUUAGCUAGUUGGUGGGGUAAUGGCUCACCAAGGCGACGAUGCGUAGCCGACCUGAGAGGGUGAUCGGCCACACUGGGACUGAGACACGGCCCAGACUCCUACGGGAGGCAGCAGUAGGGAAUCUUCCGCAAUGGACGAAAGUCUGACGGAGCAACGCCGCGUGAGUGAUGAAGGUUUUCGGAUCGUAAAGCUCUGUUGUUAGGGAAGAACAAGUGCGAGAGUAACUGCUCGCACCUUGACGGUACCUAACCAGAAAGCCACGGCUAACUACGUGCCAGCCGCCGCGGUAAUACA